UGUGGAAAAGUUGAAAUGUCAACAAAAGCAACCAAAAUCUAUUUGCUACCACCAUUGACUAUAGAAGGACAGGUCAUCAUCACUACGAUUGAAACCAAAGAAUACAAAAGAUGAGACUUUUUGAAGAUCCGUUUCAACAAAGUCAAUAACUUUGACAAAAUCCUGAUAACCAAAUAGAGUUUUUGACAAAAUCCAAGACACAAUCCCCCAAUAGAAACCAAACGACGGUUUGUUUCUUCUUCUGUGCAAUGGAAAGAGGUAACAUAAACCUAAAAGACCCAAAUGGAGAAAAUCUCUGUAUGAUUCACACCAAGAGCCAAUUGAUGAAGAAACCAAAAGGAAUAAUCAAACAAAGGUACCGUGGUGAGAAUAAGCGAAGACGGCUCGAUAAGUGUAGAUGUGAUCACCAGUGUACAAGGAGAGAUUCUUACGUCAGCGGCGGAGAUAUGAUUGGGCGAUCGAACCGGAGAGAGAGACUGUUGAACCAAUUCAUUCCGUUACGGAAUCUUUUAACGGCGUUAACUGUUGUUAGAUGACGACGAUCGCAGGGUGCUAUGGUGACUUUUAUCAAGACGACGCCGUUUAGAUGUCCCCGGAAUCUUAUUCUUCUUUUCUUUGCGUAUUGGACUCAUAUUGGGCUUAAAGAAUACGCUCUACGGCCCAAAUAUCGAAUGAAGUAGUAUUAUUUAUUUAUCAACCUGUUGUUGUUAUUUUGCUCAUUGCCAACUAAUGAAUAUGCUAAGAAUUAA